rnacentral:rRNA from 1 species
AUUGAACGCUGGCGGCAUGCUUUACACAUGCAAGUCGAACGGCAGCGCGGGCUUCGGCCUGGCGGCGAGUGGCGAACGGGUGAGUAAUACAUCGGAACGUGCCCAGUAGCGGGGGAUAGCUCGGCGAAAGCCGGAUUAAUACCGCAUACGACCUGAGGGUGAAAGCGGGGGAUCUUCGGACCUCGCGCUAUUUGAGCGGCCGAUGGCAGAUUAGCUAGUUGGUGGGGUAAAGGCCUACCAAGGCGACGAUCUGUAGCUGGUCUGAGAGGACGACCAGCCACACUGGGACUGAGACACGGCCCAGACUCCUACGGGAGGCAGCAGUGGGGAAUUUUGGACAAAGGGCGAAAGCCUGAUCCAGCAAUGCCGCGUGUGUGAUGAAGGCCUUCGGGUUGUAAAGCACUUUUGGCGGGAACGAAAAGGACUGUGCCAAUACCACGGUUCGAUGACGGUACCCGCAGAAUAAGCACCGGCUAACUACGUG